ensembl:lncRNA
GGGGCGGCAGGGUAGUCUAGUGGUUAGAGUGGAGGGGCGGCAGGCUAGCCUAGUGGUUAGAGGGGAGGGGCGGCAGGGUAGCCUAGUGGUUAGAGUGGAGGGGUGGCAGGGUAGCCUAGUGGUUAGAGUGGAGGGGCGGCAGGGUAGCCUAGUGGUUAGAGUGGAGGGGUGGCAGGGUAGCCUAGUGGUUAGAGUGAAGGGGCGGCAGGGUAGCCUAGUGGUUAGAGUGGAGGGGCGGCAGGGUAGUCUAGUGGUUAGAGUGGAGGGGCGGCAGGGUAGCCUAGUGGUUAGAGUGUUGGACUAGUGACCGGAAGGUUGCAAGUUCAAACCCCCGAGCUGACAAGGUACAAAUCUGUCGUUCUGCCCCUGAACAGGCAGUUAACCCACUGUUCCCAGGCCGUCAUUGAAAAUAAGAAUUUGUUCUUAACUGACUUGCCUCGUUAAAUAAAG